rnacentral:rRNA from 1 species
UACGGGGGGGGCAAGCGUUGUUCGGAAUUACUGGGCGUAAAGGGCUCGUAGGUGGCCAACUAAGUCAGACGUGAAAUCCCUCGGCUUAACCGGGGAACUGCGUCUGAUACUGGAUGGCUUGAGUUUGGGAGAGGGACGCGGAAUUCCAGGUGUAGCGGUGAAAUGCGUAGAUAUCUGGAGGAACACCGGUGGCGAAGGCGGCGUCCUGGACCAAUACUGACACUGAUGAGCGAAAGCCAGGGGAGCAAACAGG